AUGGACGAAGACAUGAAGCUUUCGCGGAGACGACGAGGUGGCCGCUGCUGCACCCCCAUUCCAUGGACACGAAGAUUCCUGUCCUCUCUGCCAUCGAUAACGACACUUCUCAUCGAUAACGGCACUUCUCGGCAGGCGCAGACCGCAUGGCCGUCUUCCUCUCUGGCCCAUCAGAUUCAGACCCUAUCCCUCUUCCUCUGCAUCUCUGUUAAAAUAUGCUCAGGUCAACUAGGAGAUGAUACAAGCCAAGGCGCUCACACUGAUUUAAGAUGUUUGCUCUAUGUUUGGUCAUAUUGUUCCUAG
rnacentral:rRNA from 1 species